rnacentral:tRNA from 1 species
GUCCACGUAGCUCAGUAGGAUAGAGCACAGGAUUCCUUUUAAAUUGGGCGUUAUGUUUGGAAACUUCAUAACGGAUCUGCUCAAAGUCGGGGAACGCUUCGCUGUCUUUCAGCAUGCCAAUCCCGAGCCAAGCCCCUUGCGGGGAAGGUGUAGAGACUGGAUGGGCAGCACCUAAAGGUUUUUGGCCAACGGUGAAGGGACAGUCCAGACCACGAACGUCCGAUGGGCGGCGGCGAAAGUCGAAGUGGUAUGAAUCCUGGGGUCGGAGGUUCGAAUCCUCUCGUGGACACCA